rnacentral:lncRNA from 1 species
CUUGGGGUCCCUGAGCUUAGGAAGCCCCCAUGGAAACCAAGUCACAGGCAUCCAGGGUGAGGAAGGCUGCCCACAGGCAUCCAGGGUGAGGAAGGCAGCCCACAGGCAUCCAGGGUGAGGAAGGCUGCCCACAGGCAUCCAGGGUGAGGAAGGCAGCCCACAGGCAUCCAGGGUGAGGAAGGCAGCCCACACUUUUCUUGGAGACACAUCCCCAAAGAAGUCCUCACGUGGCUCCGUUUGGGCAGAAACCAUGAAUUGAACGGGAAAAGAAAUAUGUCAAGUAUCAGAAAGAAGAGUGGCAUGCUUUGACAGCAAGUGGACUCCGAGUCCAGGGCAGAGCCUCAGUUAG